GUGAAGGUAGGUGCAUAGCUUGAGCCCAGGAGUUGAAGACCAGCCUAGGCAACAUGGUGAAACCCCAUCUCUACAAAAUAUACAAAACUUAGCCAGGCAUGAUAGUGUGUGCCUGUGGUCGCAGCUACUUGAGAGGCUGAAGUGAGCAGAUCUCUUGAGCCUGGGAGGCAGAAGUUGCAGUAAGCCAAGGUCUGGCCACUGCACUCAAGCCUGGGAGACAGAGCGAUGAGACUCUCAUCUCAAAUGCUUGUGACAGAACAUCUUUGUAAAUGGUAGUCUUUUGACUAUUUUAAUAACAGCCAGCAGCAAAGGAAUUUUGAGAAUAUCAAGAACCCUGACUGAUAGAGUUGGCUUAGCCACCUGACCUAAGGAUUCUUUCCCUAAGGAGAAGAGUGGGGAGGAAAAAUAGGGAAGAUAUUGCAUCUAUUCCAAGCAAAGUGUGGCAUGGGACCCAAAGAUCGAAAAUGUUUGGAAUUAACUUAUCCUGACAGUGGUUCCUAUUCUUUUCAAUUUCUGGAUCUACUCGUCUCUUUUAUUAUGUAGCCUAUCUCAUAUUCUUCCAUUGGAUCUAAAUUUCCAUGAGAAAUAAAAAUCAAUUUUUACGUGCUAAUUACAC
rnacentral:lncRNA from 1 species